CGCGCGGGCCGGGCCCCUCUGGCGAUCGAAAUCGGUCGUGAUGUCGGACCGCAUCG
rfam:Sphingomonas sp. Root710 contig_1, whole genome shotgun sequence.